ACUGACCAGUUGCAUGACCUUAAAAAAAAUAUAUCACUGUGGCUUGGUUUUGAAAAAGUUAGACUAUAUUUGGUGCAGUCCAAAUGUAUGUUUUUUUAAAAAGCAACAAAAUCCUUUCUUCAAAUAAAAUUGUAUGAGGAACAUCAAUAUGGGGAAAAAUGAAGAAAAGCUUUUCUGAUUAACAUGAGGGAGGGGGCAGAAUAACUUUUUCACCUUCAAGAAUCCCUAAUGAAUGCUGGGAGCAAUAGAGCUCCUGGCAUGCACAAAUGGAAAAUCUUUGGCCUGGAUGAUCUUGGAAGUCUUUUCUAUUUGGUCCAACCAGUCUCCUCCAGGAAAUUUCUAAAUGACAUGAAUUCAUUGGAUAAGUGAUAAAAUCAGAUAUAGAAAUAUGACCAAAUGUGCUAUUACGAAUGAAGAUUGUUAUAUACAUAUAACCUGCUCCGAGAAAGGACUUUGUGAAAGAGGAAAGUCAAGAGCUCAGGGUGAUCUUUGAGCUAACGAGGACGCUAGGUGACACCAAGCCCAAACACUCUCUGAGCAAGUGCCUGGUCCUGAGAGGUGAUCGAGGUCACACGACUAUAAGAUAUAGGCAGGAACUGAAAAAUCACAUCUCCAGACUCAUCACUUGGACUAGCUAUGUCUCAUGAUUUUCACAUAUAUUAUGCAGAAGAAGAGGAAAUGUUCAAAGAGGAUGCUUAGCUCAACUUAUUUUCUUUUUACAAUAAAUAAUAUUCCAUCAUCUGGAUGUACCACAGUUUAUUUAUCCAUUCACCUACUGAAGACCAUCUUGCUUCCAAGUUUUGACAAUAUGAGUAAAGCUGCUGUAAACAUGUGUGUGCAGGUUUUUGUGUAGAUAGAGUGUUCAGUUCAUUUUGGUAAAUACCAAGGAGCACCACUUCUGGGUUAUAUGAGACAGGAUCUCCCUAUAUUACCUAGGCUGGUAUAGAACUCCUGGGCUAAAGUGAUCCACCCACCUCGACCUCAGAAAGUGGCUUAUAAAUUUUGAGGCAACUCAAAUAUAGAUGAUUGUUUUCUCAAAUUUGCUAGCAUCUUUUUAUAAGAUACCUGCUUGGGCGUAACUAUUUGUAUUCAACUGGUAACAGCCUAACUACACUUUUGAUCCUAUGGGAAUAGACAGUCUGGAAUGUGGUGAUACUCUGUAGCUAUCAAAUCUGCAGGGCCUGGCCAUGGACUUGCAUAUCAUUGCUGAGAGAAGUCUCAAUAGCAGCUUAAGUACUAUUGAGGACCUCAAGACGACAAAUUUUCUCCAUCUCUUCUAAGGCUGAAUUGUCAUAUGCAAUGUGCUUUAUGGCUAUGCUGAGAGACGGUGAUAGAAGACUAAUACAUUGCAUCAUCAUCCACUCAGUGAGAAAUGGCUUUUGCAGAUUUGUGCUGAUGGAUCUAAUGUGUGGACUUCUGGAGGCUUUGAGGUGGAUAUACCUCAGUUGUGGAUAAAGAGGUGAAGAAGGACAUCUAUGGUGAUGCUCAGUAAUAUCUGCGAAGAACUGUGGAGACAGACAAAUAGUCAAAGGAGAAUACAGAUAACUUUCAGAGGAAGUGUGAACAUCAAGCUGGGGAGCUUUUUUGAAGAGCAGGAUCUUUCUAUCAAAAUGGGAUAGUGGAAGAUUAAAGUAGUGAUGACUACAUAUAGGAAUACAAAGUUGACAGUGAGAGACACAAGUCUGAUACUGCAAAAGAAAAAUGUAAGAAACUUAGGACUCAACUUUAUCAAUGAGUUUAACUACAGAAAUGCACUAGGGACUGAAUGGUGUCCCCCCAAAAUUUAUAUGUCAAAGCUCUAAUCCUCAAUAUGAUGAUCUCCAGAGAUGGAACUUUAGGGAGGUAAUUGGGUUUAGAUGAGGUUAUGAGGAUGGGGUCCUCAUGAAGGGAUUAGUGCUCUUAUAAGGAAAGGUCAGAGAAUGCUCACUUGUUCGCAUAUGCUCUUGUAUUCUCUCUCUCUCCUCAACCCCCACCAUAAAAGGGCACAACAAGAAGAUGGUUGUCUACGAGGCGGGAAGAGAGCCUUCACAAGGAACCAAAUCAGUGGGCACCCUGAUCAUGAGACUGCCAGCCUCCAGAACUGUGAGAAAUAAAUGUCUGCUGUUGAAGCC